rnacentral:rRNA from 1 species
AGCGAACGCUGGCGGCAGGCUUAACACAUGCAAGUCGAGCGGGCAUCUUCGGGUGUCAGCGGCGGACGGGUGAGUAACGCGUGGGAACGUGCCUUCUGGUUCGGAAUAACUCAGGGAAACUUGAGCUAAUACCGGAUACGCCCUUUUGGGGAAAGGUUUACUGCCGGAAGAUCGGCGCGCGUCUGAUUAGCUAGUUGGUGGGGUAACGGCCUACCAAGGCGACGAUCAGUAGCUGGUCUGAGAGGAUGAUCAGCCACACUGGGACUGAGACACGGCCCAGGCUCCUACGGGAGGCAGCAGUGGGGAAUAUUGGACAAUGGGGGCAACCCUGAUCCAGCCAUGCCGCGUGAGUGAUGAAGGCCUUAGGGUUGUAAAGCUCUUUUAUCCGGGACGAUAAUGACGGUACCGGAGGAAUAAGCCCCGGCUAACUUCGUGCCAGCAGCCGCGGUAA